CGCAAAAGGCCUUCAUCAUCCUGGACAACAUUAUCGUUCAGAUCCUCCACACGUUGCUUGGACCGGAGGCGACGUCGACGUCAUCAUCAGUAUGUGUCUGCUUGGCUCCAAUCUUCUAUCUUCUCGUCCUCGUGUGGAUUCCUUUAGCUUGGCUUGUGGUUUUUAGUGCUAGGCUUCUUGAUUGCAUGCCCUGAUAUAUAAGUUCGGUGGGGCAUUUGCUUGUAUUUCCUCCUAUUGCGGUUCAUAAGCCAUCAUAAGUUUAAGGUUGUUUUGCGCUCAUUUAGCUUUUGUAAUGCUAACAAGAUGCACCCGCAGGUUAGGAUCCGUGCAAUAAAUCAAUCUGGACACAUGUGUUGAUUGGGAUCUAAUAUAGCACGAGAAAGGGCAAUACAGAUUCAAUCUAUUCUAACUUAUCUAUAUGGUCAAAACCUUUUUUAGUUUAUUUAUCUUUUAUUUAUCUAUCUAAACUGAAGCUAUCUCCUAAUGACCAACUAAUGGCUAACUCUGAAUGGCCUGUCGUUGCUCUGAACUUCUCUGAUGAAAUUGAACUCUAGAUUUUGUUUAAACAUACACCACACUUUAGCCACUUUGCUGAGUUGCAUCUGGCACAACCUUGCAAUCUUUUCUAAUGUUAUUACUUUUUACUAAUGUUAUUACUUUAUAAAUAAAUAAAUAUAUAUAUAUAUAUAUAUAUAUAUAUAUAUAUAUAUAUAUAUAUAUAUAUAUAUAUAUAUAUAUAUAUAUAUAUAUAUAUACGAAGGGUAGAUGUGUUGUUAGAUGUAGAAGGACAUUGCAUUGUGCAACAUGGUUGUCUACAUGAUCCUUAAAAUUUCAAGAGUUCCAGAGUGUUAUGAAAAAAAUGAGGUGGUGCUGAGCUGAUUAUUGCAUAGUGCAAAUUCAAAGAUAUAUCACUGAUGGGCACUGAUGAGGAAAAUCAAAGUUGUUGCUUUGCUUGCUUUUAAAGUGGUGAUGGAAGAUAACUACUUUUGCUUAUGAGGUGGUGACCAGCUGAGUAUUUAGUACUUGGACAAUGUAAAUUCAAAGAUAUAUCAUUGAUAGGCAAUGAUGAGAAAAUCAAAGAUGCUUUGUUUCUCCACAUGAGCAUUGUGAUCCAGUUUAUUGCACUCUUUAUUCAUUCUGAUGAUUACUUCCUCAUCAGAUGUCCUUGGCCUAUUUUCACAUUUGCUUUUAUUAUUUUCUAGAUGCUGAGUAGUCGUUUCCUUCUCUUUGCUGCUUUGCUAACAUCCUUGGGAUUAUCCAUGUUUCUUUCAGUCACUAUGAUUUAUCACUAGGUCAUUGUGUUUGUGGACAACGAGUAUUGUUCUAACAGUUAUGUUCCCUUAGCUAGCUGGAUUCAUUGUUGUGUUUUGUUCAGGGUACUUUCACCACUUCUGGUAUGGUUCUGUCUUUAAUGUGCCAUGGAUUAUUAUAUUGUUUUUGGUUUGGAUUUGGAAUGGUUUUGUCUUUAAUGUGCCAUGAAUUAGGUAUGAUGCCUGAAGUACUUCUGUUCUGAAGUUUCUUUAUGUGUUUUUUCCUGUUUGUCUAAGCAAAUUCAAAGAUAUAUCACUGAUGGGCACUGAUGAGGAAAAUCAAAGAGUUCCAUUUUGGUAGUAUUGUCUUUUUGGUUGGAUUGGUGUCAUUUUCUUUGUUUUAAGUUUCCGUCAAUUAGCGGUUCCAGUGAAAUAUGUGAUUGGCUUAAGGAAGACUGGUUUUAGCUUCAAGCCAACUAACAUGUUAUUCUCGAUUAAUGGGUGGCUUGUGGCUAAAACUAAUUUUGAGAACCAUCCGUGAUGGCCAAUAAUAGCUAUGAGAUCCAAGGGACUUGUAUGAUCACUUUUUUUAGUUACUUCUCUGAACCAAUUCCAUUAUUUUGUUUUUGUUUGUGUUUUCUGUUUGAUCAGGCUCUGCCCCAUUGAAGAAAAUAUUCUUUGACUAUAGAUAAAUGAUUGAUUAGUUUUAGCUUCAAGCCUUUGUUGUCUCUACUCUUUGGCAUAUAGGCUUGUGGUUAAAACCAGUCCACUCUAAGUUCAUUGAUGAUGGGUAAUAGCUAUGAGAUCUGAGGGACAAGGUUAUCUAUGUCUUUUUGAUGUCCUAAAUGUACUUGUGUCUUCGACCAUUUGUCCUCAUAUUUUCUAUUGGCGGCUGCAGAUCAUGAAGGCAGAACAUCAGAUAUUGAAGUGCAACCAAGAUUUUUAGUGCUAGGGGCAAUUGAUGACUCGACACCUGUGGAAAAACUUUGAGGUAAAGUAUGUCGGCGAACAAAAGUGGAAGCACCUUGAGGUCUACCUGAAUUCAUUUCUUCUUUAUCCUUUUGCAUAUGUGCUAAAGCAUUCAAUGCAGUAUUCCUGGAAUUAACUACAUGUGCAUAACUACCCGAAGAAUCAGAAACAUAUAAAACUCCAAGAUCAUGCUCUUCUGGCAAGCCUCCAGUAGUUGUUGAGGAUGAUGAAGCUUAUGGGAUACUCUUCUGCAUGUAUGGAUGCCC
rnacentral:lncRNA from 1 species